rnacentral:sRNA from 1 species
ACUGAGAUGCAUGAAGAUUCAGCUGUGAAGAUACUAUAAAAAGAGAAGAGAAGGACCGAGACAGAAGCAACAACGGAACUGUCAGUGCGGAGUAGGGCUAAACUCAGUUCCAUUGUUAACCAAGGAAAAACAAACAAUACAUUGAAUUUGACAACCCGCUGAAGUUGCAGAUAAUGAGGACUUACCAUUGUAUACCAUUAUUCAUCUGGACCUAUAUGUUCCAUACAGUUGACACCAUCCUAUUACAAGAAAAACCUAACAGUUAUUUAUCAAGCAAAAAGAUAGUGGGUCUGACAAAAGAUGACGGUAAAAUGCUACGUCGCACCAAGCGUGGCUGGAUGUGGAAUCAGUUCUUCUUAUUGGAAGAGUACACAGGUACUGACACACAAUAUGUAGGCAAGCUUCACACUGACCAAGAUAAAGGAGAUGGAAAUUUAAAAUACAUACUAACAGGAGAUGGGGCUGGCAGUCUAUUUGUUAUAGAUGAAAAUACAGGAGACAUUCAUGCUGCAAAGAAACUAGACAGAGAAGAAAAAUCUCUGUACAUUCUUCGUGCCAAGGCUAUAGACAGAAAAACUGGGCGGCAGGUGGAACCGGAAUCGGAAUUUAUCAUUAAAAUUCAUGAUAUCAAUGACAAUGAGCCAAAAUUUACAAAAGACUUAUACACUGCCAGUGUUCCUGAAAUGUCUGGAGUCGGUACAUCUGUUAUACAAGUAACUGCAACAGAUGCAGAUGACGCCAACUAUGGAAAUAGUGCCAAAGUGGUCUAUAGCAUAUUGCAAGGACAGCCAUAUUUUUCAGUGGACCCAGAAUCAGGCAUAAUAAAAACUGCAUUACCAGACAUGAGCAGAGAAAAUAGAGAGCAGUACCAGGUUGUUAUACAGGCCAAAGACAUGGGUGGCCAGAUGGGAGGCCUUUCUGGAACCACCACAGUGAACAUCACGCUGACAGAUGUCAACAACAACCCUCCUCGAUUUCCCCAGAGUACGUAUCAAUUUAAUUCUCCUGAGUCUGUACCUCUUGGAACUCAUCUUGGAAGGAUAAAAGCCAAUGACCCUGACGUGGGGGAAAAUGCAGAAAUGGAGUAUAGCAUUGCUGAAGGAGAUGGUGCAGACAUGUUCGAUGUCAUCACUGACAAGGAUACACAGGAAGGGAUUAUAACUGUCAAACAGGUUUCUUUUCACUGUCUUCAUUUUUUCAUUGAGUGCUUUAUAAUUUACGUUUGCUUUUCAGUAAAGGGAAAAAAAGCCUGGGAUUUAUUUUCUCCCAUCUUUUACAUGCUGUCUAUCCUUCAGAUAAAUGAGAAUAGUUGUGAUAUCACUUCAAGCAAGUUAAAUGUCUUCAUAAUUGACACUUAAAACCUCAGUUGCUCAUGCUAAAACUAGAAAACAGUCAAAUUAAAAUUAGAUAAACUUCAAGGUACUUGUUUUGUAUUUCUCCAUAGAGGAAAAAAUAAACACACAGCCAUCAUUAUUUCAUGCACUUUUCAAAAUAUUUUCAUUGUAAGUGUGAUGAUAUAUUUAAAUAAAUAAAACCUAAAGAUGCUUUGUGUUUUCCAUUGGUUGCCUCGAUUUUCAAUGCAAUGUGGGAGAACAUUCUUAAUCUUUACAUCUAAUAGUACAGCUCAAUAUUAUCAUUUCAUAUUGUCCUUAUUUCACUUUUUAUUCAUAUCUUACUUUCCACAAGUGCUCAAAUAAUUGAAGUAGAAAUAAUUUUUAUUCUAUACUUCUAUUUUAUAUUUUUCUUCUGAUUAUAACUGCAUAACUUUAAUAAUGAUAAUAUGUAAUGUAUAAAUCCAUUA